ACACCGACGCAAAAACAGGGCAGAACCCACGUCCUCCACCUUCUCCCUGACCCAAUCUCCAUCUCCAUCUCCAGACCUCUCUCCCAAUCUCGAACUACCCGGCGUCCCUCCCUGGCUCCCUCCCGCGAGUCCGUGACCACCCAACGGCGGCCCAUCUCUCCCGCAGCAACCACCGCACCGGCCACCCGCCCAUCUCCUCCUCCUCUCACUCGCGUCGUAGCACCAUGCGCCGCACCUGCCGCGGCAAAGGGGGCCAGCCGCUGCCACCCCACUCCGUUGUGUAUGAGAAAGCACGGCACCACCGCCUCCCUAGGUCGCGACCUGUAGCGGUUCGGCUACCCCGGCACAGCCGUCUGCUGGCCCAGCGAGGAGGACGCUUUGAAUCUGGGACCUGCAGCAUUGGAUAGAGGAUAGUUACAUCUACAGUUGGUCCGCGAGCAUGGCAAGGCAUGUGCAUCUCAUCCUCUUCUCUGCACACUCACGCUUUUCAACAUUUGUGUGCCUGAUUGCAUGUUAGCCUCUUGUGACAGCCGACAGCGACGAUGAAAUAAUGCAUUGGCCCAUUGCCUGAUGAAGAAGAUGAGAGAAGUGAAGAUUAUGUACGAUGAAAUAUUACAGAUCAUGCUUGGCACCUUAGCAUAUAUCCAAGGUCCAAACUCGGAUGCUACACAAGGAUUUCUUAUGCGAAGGUUAGCUUCAGCAGAACAAUAAUAUUGAUGAUGACGAUGAUGAGCUAGAGAAGCGAUGCACAGGGUAACCAUCCUGCCACCACCAGGGAGCUCUUGGUUGACUGCAAUCAGCGAGGCCUUGUCAACUUGCUGAUACCACUUAAUCUCUAUGGCCUCUCAUUGCUCAAGAUGGAUAGUUUUGUGCAGGGACGGAGUUUGGUUUCAUGCAUCUUGCAACAAAGCUUCCAGUCGGGCAUCCUGCUUCACAUUUGGCAAAGGUGCUUCCAUGGUUUCUCCGGUCUCUCAAGCGCAGCAUAACCUGCUUGCAUGAGUUUUUCCCUGCUGCUCGCGCUACCCCUAUGUACAACAACAAUGUUCCGAUGAUCUCUCCUGCUGACACUGAUCUCCCAUCUCCUCAUCUUAUGCGCCAUCUCUGUGCUGGUUGAUCAGUGGCACUAGACGUUGAUGCUCACGCCGUUGUCAGAAGCGCACUGAGCUACUCAACCUGUCACUCACUGUCAGGACCGACAAAGUGCAUACUGAAGAUGACGAGGGGAUGGGCUAGGCCAAUGUGUAUAUUUUUUAAUUGGUAUCUCCGCGAUAUUAAUAUAUUUCCCUUGUCGAAAAAAAUAUAUGUCUUUCUAGAGAUUUCAAUAUAGACUACAUACGGAUGUAUAUAGAGUUAUAGACGUAUUUUACAGUGUAGAUUCACCCAUUUUGCUCCGCAUGUAGACCAUAUUGAAAUCUCUAAAAAAACUUAUGUUUAGAAACGGAGGGAGUAAUUUUCAAUCUCA